AAGACAAAAACUCUCUCCUCAUCUUGGGCCACGGAAGUUCAAUCAAGAUCUCCUUAAAUUGGAUCGAAUUCAAAACGUUGGAAUGAAAUGGGGGGCUUAAGCUGAGCUUCCAUGGAAGCUUCUAGGUAGACCGCAGGGUUCUUACCAUAUAGCUUAAAAGUACAAUUUUCUCUUCCUGCUCUUAAUUAACCAGUGGUUAUAAUGAAUUUUCUAACCGGCGCGGUUAAAGCAGUGGGGUUAAACCGGCAAGUCAUGGAACGGCUGAUAGGCUCGAUCCUCUUCGAACCUACCAAGGUGUUAUAUCGGCUCCUUCUCUACUAUUUAGAUUUUUUUGUUCUCUUUUAUUUUCCAUUAAAUUCUUGUUCUUUCGUUAAUUCUGCUGUGAUUAUUUCUGCAAUUAAAAGGUGCAACUAUGUUCGAAUUUGUUUCAACAGUGUUUAUAUCCCUCGUUAAUUCAUGAAUGUGAAACUUGUUCCAGUGAAUGCCAUAUAAAGGAACUUUUUUUUCUUCUAAACUGAUUAAAGUAUUACAUAGUGUCAAUAAGAAUGCGGUAAUUGGUAACAGAUAAGUUGCUUAGUAUUGAUGUACAACACCUCAGAUUCUUUUUAUGUAGUUGUUAAAUACUAACGAAUAAAAUUGUGCAUUUGUUUCUUUGUCAAGUGACUUGUAUUGGUGUUUCUGUUAUGCAUAAUUUGAUUUUUUUAACAACUUGCAGCUGCAAAAAAAAAUUAAGAGUUUUUUAAUUAAAAAAAGGUUAAGUAAUUCUACCAGCGAAUCGUAUCUCUAAGUUAUUUCAAAAACGAUGACUGUUAACUCUCUUCAAAAUUGAUUUCAAAACAACAACAGAUUUCAAAAUGAUUUGAAAUCUUUAGAAUAUCUUGAAAAUUAUCGUGAAAAGAGUGUCCACGCUAUUUUGUUUUUAGGGUAAUUCUCUCAGAUAACCCUAAAAUAGGUUUUUCUUCAAAUAGCCCACAAACCGGAAAAUAACCACAAUAGAUUUAUGAGAUAAAAAAACUCUUAUAUUCUUACUUUAUAUAUAUAUAUUUACAUAUACAUAAUUAUUUAAAUAAAUAAUGUAUAUAUAUAAUUUAUUAUUUUUGAAUAAUACAUUUUUAAAUUUAAACUUUUUAUAAUAUUAAUUUUUAAAAGUUUUUAAAAAAAAAUUAUUUUGAAAUCCGAAAAUCAUUAUUGAAACUAUUAAAAAAAUAUCUAAAAUUUUUAGUAUUUAUUUUAAAAUCUUAAAAUGCACUCCCAAAAAUCUCAUCCUCAAAUCUUGAUUGGUUAAUCCUAGGAAUAAAAUGUCUAUUUACUCUUCAAUAAAACUUCUUUAGUUCAUUUUGACUCUUGAAUGUUAUAUUUGUGAUAAAAAAAAUUUAAAGGUCAUCCUAUGGAUUUAUCUGGUUUUUAAAUGGAUAUAGUAUUAAAAUAAAACUAAUUCUAUUCAAUUUUGAUAAUUGGAUUUUUUUUUGCAAAACCAAGUUUAAAAUACAGAAUAUGUUUUUUUAUUAGAAGAAUUGUUAUCAUGAACGUAAAUUUCCUACAAAGCAAAAAGAGACAUGUUGUAAAUGUUUUUAAAGGUUUCCAAUGUUCAAGUCAUCAAAUAAACGAAGAAAUCGAGAUAUUAAUGGGAAAGGAAGGUCUGACGCCAAAUUCAAUGGAUCAAGAAAGUUACAGUGAAUUUAGGGAUAACAUUUUACGUUAAAGAGUUGACCCAAGACUUUUUGUCGGAAAGUAUGGAUGAAACCAGGUCUUGAAGUUGUGUUACAAAAAAAAAAAAAAAAACCAGGUCUUGAAGUUAAGGACAUGCACAAUGUUCCAAGAGUGUGUUUAGGGAGAGAUCUAAGCUCAAGAAAAUAUAUUGCAUAAGUUAUGUGAAAAACGUGAUUCAUCUCGUUAGUGGAGGGAUUAAUAUUUAUAGAGGUUACCAAACACAUAAAAUCGAAAAUUAUCUUGUAAGGAUGAAUAUAUAUAAGUUUCAAAACCAAAAUAGCUUUAAGUCCCAAGACAAGAAAGACAUCAAUGCGGGAAACAAAACACAAAUGAAACUACUGUACUCAACGGUGAAUGGUCGAGGAAAGCUGCAAAACUGAGAGUAAGAACGACAUCAGUCUGAAAAGCGAAAGUUAGCACAGUCUUUUUCAAGACCGAGUCAUCUUCCGAUUUUGAGUAGUCCUUUUUUUUUUGUCACUGCCAAUUAAGACUAGUCCAAAACCUUUUCCUAUGGCCUCAACCGAAGUUACUAUAUACUACUUCCUCUGUUCCUUAAUAUUAUAUAUUUUAGGAAAAAAUUUUGUUUUAAAAAGAUCUAUUUUUUACAUUUUCAAGACAUGUUUUAUUAACUAAUUGCAAAUUUCAAAAAACUUAAUUGUAAUUACCGAAUUGUUAUUAGCUUAAAAUUAUGAAACAAAGAUAAACACAAAAAAAUAUGCAAAUUUAAUGUGUUUUAUUAAAAUGUGUGAAAAAUCUAGAAUAUGUAACAUUAAAAAACAGAGGAUAAUAUUUUAACAUCAAUACUAUUAUUUGAGAAGUGAAUUUGCUGAUUUGUCAUAUUCUCCAUACUUUUAGGUAAUUUUUUUAUUUAUUAUAUUUUUAUUAGGCUUUAGCUAAAUCAUUGAUUUAUUAUUAGUUUUUAGCUCAGUCACUAAUUUAUUAAUUUUUAAAAAUACCCUUAAUUAACCUUAUAUAUAAUUUAAAAAAAUUUCAUUUUAAUGAUAUUAAAUUUAUAUGAUAUAUUAAAUAUUUAGUUAGUUUUUCUUAUUUUUCAUAUUUUUAUUAGGUUUUAGACUUUUAGCUAGGUUAUUGAUUUAUUAUUAGUUUCUAAUUGAUUCACUAAUUUAUUAAUUUAAACAAUACCCUUACCGAAUUUUAUUUUAAUAAUUUUAAAUUUAUAUUUUAUAUUAAAUAUUAAAAAAUUGAUUAUAAAAUAAUAUAAUAAAAUUAUGAAAAACAUAUUUAAAAAAUAAGAUAAUUUUAUAUAUCUUGUGUUGCUAUCUGAAAAAAAAUAUUUUGUUAUAAUUUUUUUAAAAAAAAUAAGAUACAAAACAAUUUAUAAUUAAAUAUUACUCAAGCAAAAAAAAUUAUAUAAAGAUAUUUUCUAAACUAUUUCUAAGAGAUGAGUAUUUUAAAAUAAUUAACACAAUAAUAAGUAUAUAUUUUGAUGAAAAAUAUUUGACAUAUAUAAAUACUUUGAUGUUUGAUUUAAAAGUUUAAAAAUAUAAAUAAUAAUUUAUUAUGCUGGUUUUAGAUUAAUAAGCCAUAAACUAAUAAGUAUUCAUAAAAGGAUUAUGCCCGCAUGUGCGGGUAAAACAUCUAGUUAUAUAUUAUACUAGUUUUUCUCUUUUUUUGUGCACCAACUCAUAAUAUAAAUAAAAAGGCCUCAAACCCAAAUUCACACCAUUAAUGGGUCAGAUACAAUCCAAGUAGCUAGGGGCUCUUUUCGCCAAAGUAUCGGCUUUAGAAUUGAGAUUGUGAGAGAAAGAAAAAAAAGAGAUAUCGACGAAGACAGAAGCUAUUUGCUGGAUAUCAGUGAUGAUUCCAUAAAUUUCAUUGAUAUGCAUAUCGUUUUUAAUAGCUCUGGUGAGCGUUGAAUUGUCAGAAAACAUGGAAUCUCUGUAAGAUUCAUGUCCACUGCAGAUAAGAGACUAGUUCGGAGAGCUAAGGCUCCGGCGAUGAAUGGUGAAGUGACGAAAUCUUGAGUCAUGGAGCCUUGAUUCAUGCUUGAGUCUGUCAGUCCAGUGAACACCCAAGCCAAACCUGCUUUAUUGGAGUUCCUAUUCUAUGCUGCAGCUGUCUUACAAGUGACGAUCGGUGUAGAGAUAUGUGGAUGCAUUCGGUAUCUUGUAGCGAGGGAUAAGUUCUUCUUUUUGCUUCGGUGGAGAUUGAGCAAGAUUCCAUUAUCUAGCUAACCGGAUUCCUCUCUCAUCCUAAUUCGAUACUACUACAAAACAGACAUGAUCAGUUGAUCACAUUACAUUUCUAACGAUUUUAAAUAACAAGAUAACUAGGAUAAGGCAUGCGCUUUGUGCAUAGUGAAUAUAUAUGAAAAUUACUUAAGAAAUAUCGUAUGGAAAAAUAAAAUUUAUAUUUUUGAUCGAAUUAAUAUUUUUUGCCCUUAAACAAUUUUUAAUUUUUUUUUUUAAUUACAUAAUUUGUUUACCGAUGAACUGAUCAUAUUUUUAAAAAUAUUUUAGGUCAAAAAAUCACUUAUCGCAUAAGAACCUAACGUUAAGGCCGAAGAAUCUCAGGCCUACUAUUUGGUUACAAUGAAACUAUGCUAGCUCGGUUUUAUAUCAUGAUUUAACAAUUUAAAAGUUAAUUAUAGUUAUGAGAAGUUUACGUUCACCUUUCAAUCCUAUAUAUCUUUAAUAUUUUUUUUUCAUUUUUGUGUUGUUUUUUUCAUUUUUGUUAUUGCUCGAUAUAAAUAUUGAUUUUUGAGUUUAUUCUCAUUUUGUUAUUUUGUUUUAGCCUCAGAUUUAGAAAAUGUUUAAGAUUUAAAAUUAUUAAAAAGAUACAUACUUAGGUUAUAAGAUCUACGCCUUGUGCAGAAUAAAUAUUUUAUUUUUAUUACUUAUUUUAUGUUUUUCUACAUAUUAUGAAAUAAUAAAAUAAUAAUUAUAUAUUAAAUAACUAAUAAAUCUGUUACUAUUAUGUAAUAAAUUAGCGUGCGCAUAUAAAUCAAGCGACUGCUCUUAUUUAUUCGCAAUUAUUUUAUAGUAUAUAAAUCAAAACAAGCAAUCUUCUAUCGUAUAUGAUAUAUAAUUAAAUUUAAAUUAUAUUAACAUAGAUAUAUAGUAUACUUUAAAUAUGGAUAUUUAUUAAAUGAGUCUUAUACUCAUAUGAUUUUAAGAUUAUUUGCAUAUUUGUGUAACAAAAUUUUACACCAGCGAUUUUUUUUAAUGUGAAAUGUUUAGUGGUUUCAAUAAUUUAUAAUAAUUUUAAAAAAUAAUGAAGAUUUCAAAAUUAAAAUAUUAACUUUUCAAUAUAUGUUCAACGCAUGUAUCAAAAUAUAAGUAUGUAUUUUCAUAUGAUGUAUAGUUAAUUUAAACGAUAUGAAUUAUAUAUAUAUUAACAUAAACACUUAUUAAAAUAAAAUUAUUUAUUCAUAUGAUUUUAUAAUCAUUGUAUUUUAUUAUAGAAAAAAAAAUAAACUUUGAUUACAAAUGUUUAUGUGAGAUUUUUAACAGUUUUAGUAAUUUAUUCUCGUUUUGAAAAAUUCAAAAUACAACAUAUACAAACAAAUCUAAAAUUUUAUUAUUUGAUUAAUGUAAUUGUGCAAUUUAUUUUAAUAAUAAAUAAUUAAAAAAUGAUAUAAAGUAAACAUAUUGUUAACAAAUCUUUAUUAUUUAAAAUAAUUAAUUGUCAUAUAUAUAUUAAUUACAUUCCAUGUUCGAAAACUCGCCAGGCGUUAUCCGUACGUUCGGGUUUGGCCUAGCGCAUAAUGUAAUAAUCGGAGAUUACUCGGGGAUUAAUCGGGGAUUAAUUUUGAGUUUAAUUUUGAUUUUUAAAAACAUUUAUAUAUAAGUAGGUGUUUAUGUAACAAAUAAUAUGAAUUGGCGUAGUCUAGUGGUAAGUAUCAGAUUAAUUCUCAAACAUGUCAUGAGUUCGAAUCGCACGUCACUCAAUUUUACUUAUUUUCAUGAUUUUUUUAGUGAAGGGCAUUUUUGUAAUUAACUCUUCAUCUUCUUCACUAAAGCAAUUAGGGCUUCUGCAAAUAUUUUCCGCGGCCGCCAUGGAUUUUCAUUUGUUCUUGUGCUUUUUUUUCACGAUUUACACUCUAAACUUGUAGAUUAUUCAUAAAUAUAUCGAUUUCGGGUUUCAAAAAGACAAAAAACGAAGAUUUUUUUCAAAAUUCUGCCUACUUCUCUGAUUUGGUCCAAAUCGAAAUGCUUGGGCUCCGCCGAACGUUUAAUCGCCGCAAAUCCGGUCGCCGCAGCCGCGUUUUAGGACAUGGAUUACAUUAGGUUAUUCCGUAGAUUUUAUUUAAGAAAAUAAUAUAUAAUAAUUUUAAGUUGAUAAAUAAAUGGUCCAUAAUGGAUAUACUAUAUAAUACUUCCUCUGUUUCACAAUAGAUGAUGUUUUUGAAGAUUUUGUUGUUUCAAAAUAGAUGAUGUUUUGAUAUUUUUAAGUUAUUUUUAACUUUAUUGAAAACUGUGCAAUCAAUUAGAUGUUGUAGUUAUUUUGUAAUUGGUUGGAUGAUUUUUAAAUUUUAUUUUUAAAACUAAUUUUUAGAGAAAAGUAAAUUUCUUAAUCUUUAUGCACUAAGGAAUAACAUCAUGUAUUAUGAAACGGAAUGAGUAUAACAUUCCCUAGAAAUUUAAUUUUGAACUAAGAAAAUUCUCAAUUGAUUCUCAAACCGCCACGUAAAAAAAAUUAACAUUCCAAUUAUGUGACAAUUCAGCAUAGUAUUUUUUUAAUUAAAAACUACGUAUUAUAAUUUUUUAAAUAUGAGAUUUUCUAAGCAAAAAGAUAUAAUAAAAUGUCUUCAUUUGCAGUCUUUCUGCUAUCACUCUCAUUUAAGGCUUUCAUAUAUAAUUAUAUAACAAAAUUCUGUCAGAAGUGGGGUUUGAACCCACGCCCUCGUACGUAAUUACAUUCCAUGUUCGAAAACUCGCCAGGCGUUAUCCGUACGUUCGGGUUUGGCCUAGCGCAUAAUGUAAUAAUCGGAGAUUACUCGGGGAUUAAUCGGGGAUUAAUUUUGAGUUUAAUUUUGAUUUUUAAAAACAUUUAUAUAUAAGUAGGUGUUUAUGUAACAAAUAAUAUGAAUUGGCGUAGUCUAGUGGUAAGUAUCAGAUUAAUUCUCAAACAUGUCAUGAGUUCGAAUCGCACGUCACUCAAUUUUACUUAUUUUCAUGAUUUUUUUAGUGAAGGGCAUUUUUGUAAUUAACUCUUCAUCUUCUUCACUAAAGCAAUUAGGGCUUCUGCAAAUAUUUUCCGCGGCCGCCAUGGAUUUUCAUUUGUUCUUGUGCUUUUUUUUCACGAUUUACACUCUAAACUUGUAGAUUAUUCAUAAAUAUAUCGAUUUCGGGUUUCAAAAAGACAAAAAACGAAGAUUUUUUUCAAAAUUCUGCCUACUUCUCUGAUUUGGUCCAAAUCGAAAUGCUUGGGCUCCGCCGAACGUUUAAUCGCC
rnacentral:lncRNA from 1 species